rnacentral:lncRNA from 1 species
AAGCAAACGAAUUAGAUAGAGGUUCACACUCAGUUGCAGCAACAGGGAGUGCCUUGAUAUGGUUCUUUUUUUUCUCUUGACUGUCUUUUCCAGAUUCCUGAACACAUUCAGAAAUAAAGAAAAAGUAACAACAUAAUUUAGCAACAUUCAGUUGUACACAAAAAGGUGUUCAAAUCCCGACAACAAAUCUUACAGUAGUACAUACACGAAGCCAUACUAACUUCCAACAUGGCCACCAAACAGAUGGCAAGAAAUUUAAAGAUAAAAACAAACGUAUAUUUAGUAAGCGAUGGCUUCAGCAAAAGAUACAGAAACGAACCUCCUUCUCAGGCACAUUAUUCUUGUACAACCCAUUAAACUCCAAAAAAAACAUCUAACCAUAAUAGAAAAUUAAAAAAUGAGCUGAAAAUGACUGUUGUGCUCUAUGCACGAUAUGUGAUAAAGGCACCAAUAACACCCUCCAAGUCUUCAAUAUCAGUUUACUCGGAACUUACUUUUGCAAAUUCUCUCUUUUUUUUACCAUUCAUGCUGUUAUACCACGUGAGAAUGCACUAAACCUAGUUAUCCCAAACCAAAGGCCCAUGGUCAUGUUGUGCUUAGUUUUCUCAAUCACUCAAUUUUUUUUAUCCGCAAAGAAUUAAUAAAUUAAAAAAAAAAGACACUUCAGGGGUGUCCCAACCCGUAUACAUGGUUCUAGACCACUGGUUCUAGACCACAGAGAGCACAUACAAAACUCACAAAAACCUGCUGAACAAGUGCAAUGACAUUCCUAAGAACUACCAAAGAUCAAAAGCACACUUCCCAACAGAGUGAUAUUAAGCUAAACACAACCAAUAACAAACAGCAAAGACAAAUCUGGUGGCUUCAAGAUUGCAUGUAGGCAGCUGGACAAUUCAGCAUAGCCAAUUCCAAGAAUUCUAACAGCAGAUGAUGUUGUGACUGUAGUAAAUUAGGCUUUAAAACGAACAAAAAGAUUUCCCAAGGCGUAAGUAAUCACUGUCCGUAAGGACUUAUCCUCGGUGUAUUGCGCAAGUCCUCCAGGAUACAACAGGAACUUCCCGAUAAUUUCCGAGGAUCAAAACUAGCAAGUUUCUUUUUAAAAGAGUAAUACAAAAUAGAACCCAGAAAUAUUAUAAUAUUAAAAUAAUCUAAUAAAUGAUGAGAGAGAAAACUAAAAAUUUAAAGGUGAUAGGAAGAGGAGUUUCACGGUGGUGUUGGGUGAAGAAGAUGAAGAAGGUGAGUGAGAGUUGGGUGUUUUCUGAAGCAAAGGGUUGCGGCUUUUAUAGAUGAAGAAAGUAACUGCAUCCCACUACAUGAGCAACUCUGCUUCCCACGGUCAAGGCGGUUCCGAGCUGUUGCGGAGAGAAAGACUACGUCUUCCUGGAGAGUGCGGAGCAGAUCUGGAUCUGUUGAGAGCAUGCACGUUCUGAGAGACCCAUUCAAGGUAGGAACCGAGGUCCCCUUAGGUUGCAGAAGGUCGGGACUCUAUCCCACGUUCAACCUCUGCGAAACGAGGGUUUCAAACGUUGGUCCUCUACGAACGAGGGUUUCGGAGGUUUGUGCGCUCACUCAGAUUUCCGUUUCUGCACAUACUCUGUUUCUAGAUUUUCUGUUUUGCAAUAUUAUAGAAUCUGUUUUACAAAUAGAGAUUCUGUUUUACAACAGUGACAACUAAUUUUCUGGUUUAAAAUCAGGCCCCUGUAACUACAAAAGUGGCUCCCACAACGUUGUACCUCAAGGACGCAAACACAAGUAGGUGCAAGGGAACAAAAACUGCAAAUGUGGAAGCAGGAUAAAACCAGCAUAGCAUACGAAAAAAAUCCUUCCUGGCUCCCCUUGGCGACACUAAAGCUCCGCGCUCAAGAACUCCAGAAGCAAGCUAUGUUCCAUUAGUGGAUCCCAAACUUCAACCAUCCAAGCCAACUUCAUGGACAGAUCUGUGGCACUUGUCCCUCAUAAGAUACCCUGUUAUGCACCCCAUCCACACCUAUGGAACACCUUCAAUGGCCACAAUUCCACACCAGAAACGGAUAAAGCACCACCAGCCACAAGCACCUGUUUGGGAUGUAUUUAUGAUUUAGCAACCACAACCCAAAACCUCACCCACAUCCUCCUUCAGCAAGGUUAGAAACCAGCAGCAGGAUAACCACCAAGCAAAUACCAGAAGCUGUUUACAUCCCUCUGUACCAAUGAAUAUGAAGCCUUUCCAUUGCUCAACAUAACUAUUUCCAUUCUUACCAACCUACUCCUAGGUCCCUCCUCUCCUUAUACAGAUACUCAAGACAACCUGCAACCUCCUAACAUCAGCCUUUUGAAAGCAAAGAACAAAAUUAGUAUGCAUGAAAACACAACUUGUGAGGUGUUAACAACAGCUUUGGAUGGAAACUUUAGCUGAGCAUCGAUUACUCUAAUCAAAGAGGAUUCCCCUGCUACUCACUUAAAUCAACCCAGCUGUGACCGAUACACCAUUUAACACUCCACACCUCCCUGUUGACUCCACACCUGAGCCAUGUACCAUUACACGGUGAUUUUUACAGCCUAAGAUUCAACACACUCACACCACAACAAGGAGACACUGGUUGGGGUUAAAAUUCAAUCAGAGAAAGCGUACGAGAAACCAACUACCUUGUGUUUUAACCACAACCAAGGACUGUAGUUGGGCAUUCUGAAAAAUCUCAUUAGCAUCAGGGACCCUUCCUUGAAAACCACCAGAUUCCUCUGUUUCCAAAUGCAACUGACAAUUGCCGCCCACAAUCCUAGCCAUACCUGGUUUUGUUUAUUAGAGAGAUGGAUUAAGUGAAAAUUCUCCAUGUGAUUCUUAAUACCCUGUCUUGGCCCCCAAAAUACCAAUCCAACAAUAACACAUUGACCACACUCGUUGUGGGAAGACAGUCUAGGAAGAGGUGUUGAGAGGAUUCCUCUAACGUAUUGCAUAACGCACACAGAGACGAAUUCAUUCUCAAUCACUCAAUCUUGUAAUAAUAAUUUCAAAUUAAUCCAUACAUGGGUAUAACUUGUCAACAAAAAACUAGGCACUAGUAAGUAAGUAAACUUGAGUAACUUUAUUUUACAGUUAUUUCCACAUGCACAUUGACUC